UACGAAGGGGGCUAGCGUUGCUCGGAAUUACUGGGCGUAAAGCGCACGUAGGCGGCUCUUUAAGUCGGGGGUGAAAUCCUGGAGCUCAACUCCAGAACUGCCUUCGAUACUGUAGAGCUUGAGUUCGGGAGAGGUGAGUGGAACUGCGAGUGUAGAGGUGAAAUUCGUAGAUAUUCGCAAGAACACCAGUGGCGAAAGGCGGCUCACUGGCCCGAUACUGACGCUGAGGUGCGAAAGCGUGGGGAGCAAACAGG
rnacentral:rRNA from 1 species